AUUUUGGACAAUGGGGGAGACCCUGAUCCAGCAAUCCCGCGUGUAUGAUGAAGGCCUUCGGGUUGUAAAGUACUUUUGGCAGGGAAGAAAAUGACGGUACCCCAGGAGGAAGCCCCGGCUAACUACGUGCCACCAGCCGCGGUACUACGUAGGGUGCAAGCGUUAAUCGGAAUUACUGGGCGUAAAGCGUGUGUAGGCGGUUCGGAAAGAAAGAUGUGAAAUCCCAGGGCUCAACCUUGGAACUGCAUUUUAACUGCCGAGCUAGAGUAUGUCAGAGGGGGGUAGAAUUCCACGUGUAGCAGUGAAAUGCGUAGAUAUGUGGAGGAAUACCGAUGGCGAAGGCAGCCCCCUGGGAUGAUACUGACGCUCAGACACGAAAGCGUGGGGAGCAAACAG
rnacentral:rRNA from 1 species